rnacentral:rRNA from 1 species
UGCCCCCCGGCCCGGGAUAGCCCAGGGAAACCUGGAUUAAUACCGGAUGAGACGGGACCCGCGAUGGCGGGACCCGGGAAAGGCGCUGCGGCGCCGCCGGGGGAUGAGUCUGCGUCCCAUUAGCUAGACGGCGGGGUAACGGCCCACCGUGGCGACGAUGGGUAGCCGGCCUGAGAGGGUGGACGGCCACAUUGGAACUGAGACACGGUCCAGACUCCUACGGGAGGCAGCAGCUAAGAAUCUUCCGCAAUGGGCGAAAGCCUGACGGAGCCGACGCCGCGUGAACGAAGAAGGCCGUGAGGUUGUAAAGUUCUUUUCGGGAGGGGAACAACCGUGGCAGGGAAUGGCCGCGGGAUGACGUGAAUCCCGGAAUAAGCCCCGGCUAACUACGUGCCAGCCGCGGC